AUUGAACGCUGGCGGCAUGCUUUACACAUGCAAGUCGAACGGUAACAGGUUAAGCUGACGAGUGGCGAACGGGUGAGUAAUGCAUCGGAACGUGCCCGAUCGUGGGGGAUAACGCAGCGAAAGCUGCGCUAAUACCGCAUACGAUCUGAGGAUGAAAGCGGGGGACCGUAAGGCCUCGCGCGAUCGGAGCGGCCGGUGUCAGAUUAGGUAGUUGGUGGGGUAAAGGCCCACCAAGCCGACGAUCUGUAGCUGGUCUGAGAGGACGACCAGCCACACUGGGACUGAGACACGGCCCAGACUCCUACGGGAGGCAGCAGUGGGGAAUUUUGGACAAUGGGCGAAAGCCUGAUCCAGCAAUGCCGCGUGCAGGAAGAAGGCCUUCGGGUUGUAAACUGCUUUUGUACGGAGCGAAAAGGUCCUUUCUAAUACAAGGGGCUCAUGACGGUACCGUAAGAAUAAGCACCGGCUAACUACGUGCCAGCAGCCGCCGUAACAC
rnacentral:rRNA from 1 species